GGCAAGUAGUCAUUGACAAAGGUAGAAUUUAACAAUUUUGAAUUUAAUGUCAUUGUCAUAAAAUUUUCCUAAUAACCAAGGGCAAGCUAUUAAACCACUGAUUUAGCAAAGCAAAUAUCUAUCAUGAAGAUGUAGACCAGCAUGAUGAAGAUGUAGACCAGCAUGAUGAAGAUGUAGACCAACAUGAUGAAGAUGUAGACCAACAUGAUGAAAAGGUAGACAUGUACAUGUAGACCAGCAUGAUGAAGAUGUAGACCAGCAUGAUGAAAAGGUAGACAUGUACAUGUAGACCAACAUGAUGAAGAUGUAGACCAACAUGAUGAAAAGGUAGACAUGUACAUGUAGACCAGCAUGAUGAAGAUGUAGACCAGCAUGAUGAAGAUGUAGACCAGCAUGAUGAAGAUGUAGACCAGCAUGAUGAAGAUGUAGACCAACAUGGUGAAGAUGUAGACCAGCAUGAUGAAAAUGUAGACCAACAUGGUGAAGAUGUAGACCAACAUGAAGAUGUAGACCAACAUGAAGAUGUAGACCAGCAUGAAGAUGUAGACCAACAUGAAGAUGUAGGCUGACAUGAUGAAGAUGUAGACCAACAUGAAGAUGUAGGCUGACAUGAUGAAGAUGUAGACCAACAUGAAGAUGUAGGCUGACAUGAUGAAUAUGAAGAACCAACAUGAGGAAGAUGAAGACCAACAUGAAGAUGUAGACCAACAUGAAGAAUGAAGACCAACAUGAAGAUGUAGACCAACAUGAAAAUGUAGACCAACAUGAAGAUGUAGGCUGACAUGAUGAAGAUGUAGACCAACAUGAAGAUGUAGGCUGACAUGAUGAAGAUGAAGACCAACAUGAUGAAGAUGAAGACCAACAUGAAGAUGUAGACCAACAUGAUGAAGAUGUAGACCAACAUGAAGAUGAAGACCAACAUGAAGAUGUAGACCAAUAUGAUGAAGAUGUAGACCAACAUGAUGAAGAUGUAGAAAAACAUAAAGAUGUAGACCAACAUGAAGAUGUAGACCAGCAUGAUGAAGAUGUAGACCAACAUGAAGAUGUAGACCAACAUGAAGAUGUAGACCAACAUGAAGAUGUAGACCAACAUGAAGAUGUAGGCUGACAUGAUGAAGAUGAAGACCAACAUGAUGAAGAUGAAGACCAACAUGAAGAUGUAGACCAACAUGAUGAAGAUGUAGACCAACAUGAUGAAGAUGAAGACCAACAUGAAGAUGUAGACCAACAUGAAGAUGUAGACCAACAUGAAGAUGUAGACCAACAUGAAGAUGUAGACCAACAUGAUGAAGAUGUAGACCAACAUGAUGAAGAUGUAGACCAGCAUGAAGAUGAAAUGUAAACCAAAAUAUUGAUCAAGAGAUGUAUGGAAUAAAAAGUGAACAUCUUGAGAGGGAAAACAAUUCCUAGAGGCAAAGACACAGACACAGUAGAUACAUUAGAGAUAGUUUCCUUUUCUACCAUCAUUUAGAGCCUUUUUUGUGAGGGAAUCUGCGUCUGAAAGAAAUGAACAUUUCCCUAAUGCUACUUCAAAUUCAGAUCUCCUCCCAACCUCAGGCUGAGUACCCGUGGUCACCUACUUUAUGUUACAUUACCAUAGCACUACAGACAGUGGAAAACAAAUUAUAUGAAGGAAUGCAACCACCAUCAGAUAUUGUUGUCUUUACAGACUCCCAAUCUAGUCUGCAAGAACUUAACAGCAGCACCUCAAACAGCCCAAAAGAGUUGACAACACUCAUUGUGAUAAUCCAUCAGAUGAUAUCAAAAUUAAAUAUCAAUAUCACACUACAGUGGAUCCCUGGACACAUUGUCAUCAUGGGAAAUGAAAAGGCAAAUGAGAUAUCAAAGGCAAGUUCAUCUGUGGAACAACCAGAUAGACCUGUUAACUACCUCACCCUAAGGUCAAUGUUAGUCAACAAUCACAAAGAGGAGUGGCUCAACCAAUGGGCAUCAGGAAACACAGGCAGAGCCAUUUACAAAGAAAUGACUACGCCUAACAAACUGGACAGUAUUAACUUCCUCCCCUGCAAAGAACAAUCUACAACCUUCCAACUAAGAACAAAACACACUCCACUAUUAAAUUACCACCUGAAAAAAUAAACUCCACACAACUCCUCUUUUGCAGACACUGCGCCCACCCCUUUGAAACCGUUUACCAUAUCCUCUUUGAAUGCCCCUCCCUAAUCCACCUUAGGCAGACCCUACUUCCACUACAGCCCAACAUAACCAACACCCUGUAGGGCAGUGCUGAACAACUGAAGAAAACAGCACACUUUUUUUCUUGGCAAAGUCUGCAAAAGACCUCACAGCUCAGCAGCAAUAAAGCUGGCUAGAAGAAGAUUUUUUUUGUUGAUUUGAGGCACAUCGGCACAAUUGGCUAGAAGAAGAAGAAGAAAAAGAGGUUACAUUACAAGAAGUGGUCGCAAAGUCAGAAAACCUAACAGAUGACAAUGAAUAGAACAAUCAUUUCUAAUAUAGGUACAAGUGAUGUACUUUGUAAUAACUAUUUGGGUGGAAUCACUAUAAUUGACUUGUAUCUUGUUCUAUAUUUAGGUAAAUCUUGUCAUUCAGUCCAGUCAUUGUUCUUUUUCUUUUUAAUAUUCCUUUUUUUCCCUUCAAUCUUCUUGUUGUUUCAGUGAAAUGUUUUUAUCUUUUUUGUUUUGGAGGAGGGAGUGGCUGUGGUAUAUUAUCAUUAUUGGAGUCACAACACCAAAGCCUUGCUACAUUAUGCUUUUAAUUCAAUUUAUUAUCUCCCCUGCUUUUGUGUGCUAUCAUAUUAUUGUUCAUUAGUGUCACAUCCAUGCACAAUUUGUUCUAUGCUUUUUAUAGUGUAAAUAGUGACUUGACAUUAUUUAGAUCAAUUAUAAUAUGUUAUAUUAUAUUUAAAAUAAAACUGUUAACAUUUUCUAUGCUAUUAUUAAUAUGAAUGUUUUUUGUGUGUUGCUAUGAAUGCAUUUUAAAUUUUAGUCUGAAAUCAUAAAUAAGAAAUUGUUUCAUAAACAAAGAUUAUAUUAAUAUUUAAUAUUGUCAGACUUCACUAUAGCAUUGAGUUCAUCCCCAUAGUCUAUUUAAAACUUUCAAAUACUAAUUCACUUUGGCUUAUCUAAUGGUGAUCAUGGGGGAAUCCACUAUCCAUAGUCUCUGGUAUGAACACUCAGUCCUGGUUAGGGCUAGGAUGUAAUCUCUAUUUCUGAUGGAACACAUGUAAAACCAAGAAAACAAACAGUAGACCUAGACUUUAUUAACAGGUCAUGCAAGCAUUUUUUUAUAACUGUGAACUGACGCUCUAGAGCUAUUUUUAUGUAUUUUUAUUUUUGCUACUUUUGUAGACUAGUGCUAAGCUGUAUGCUUAUACUUCCGCCUAUUAUUAUAUGGGUUAGGGCGAUGCUGUUUCCUGUACUGUUGACAAGAGUGUGUCAGUUUUAAUUAUUCUGUACUUUGAACUGCCUUUAAGUUUCAGAAUUUGUUUUUUUUUUUCUAUAUGUAAAGCUACUUUAUAUAUAUAUAGUUAUAUAUUAUGGUACAUUAUUUUUCUAAUUGAAACAAGUCAAAAUAAUUGGCAGUUUGUUUUUUUAAAGUUUGUUUUAAAAUGAUGGCCACUUCUAAUGUUUAUGUACUAGAUCUUUUCCUAAUUUUUUUUAUCUGCAGUGUUUUGUAACUGCUGCUUUGCUCAUUUGAAUUAAAGUAUCAUUUUAUU